rnacentral:rRNA from 1 species
CCUACGGGUGGCAGCAGUGAGGAAUAUUGGUCAAUGGACGCAAGUCUGAACCAGCCAUGCCGCGUGCAGGAAGACGGCUCUAUGAGUUGUAAACUGCUUUUGUACGAGGGUAAACGCAGAUACGCGUAUCUGUCUGAAAGUAUCGUACGAAUAAGGAUCGGCUAACUCCGUGCCAGCCGCCGCGGUAAUACGGAGGAUUCAAGCGUUAUCCGGAUUUAAUGGGUUUAAAGGGUGCGUAGGCGGUCGGAUAAGUUAGAGGUGAAAUCCCGAGGCUCAACUUCGGAAUUGCCUCUGAUACUGUUCGGCUAGAGAGUAGGUGCGGUAGGCGGAAUGUAUGGUGUAGCGGUGAAAUGCUUAGAGAUCAUACAGAACACCGAUUGCGAAGGCAGCUUACCAAGCUACUUCUGACGUUGAGGCACGAAAGCGUGGGGAGCAAACAGGAUUAGAUACCCUAGUAGUC